CCCAGCGGUUCCUGACCCAGAGACACGGUGUCCUCACAUGUUGGACUUCUGUUAUUUAGCAAAAUCUCAAACUUUGAGUCAUAGCUUUUAGUUUCCUGUUUUAUUUUGGUAAGCCUCAUAUUUCUUGUCUUUACUUCCUGUUUUCUGACUGUCAGAUCUUUGUCCAGGUUUAGUUCAUUUUAUGUUCAGUUUUCUACUUUCUGAUCUUCAUUUACUUUCCUUCCACCAGAUGUUCUGGUUCUGUCUUUUGGACCGGUUUCCACUGUAGCUACUUGAUGUUCUGUUCAUAUUUCCCUGAUCUUUGGAUGUUUUCCAGCUUUAGCUGCGUAGCAUCAACUGGGAAAUUCUGACUUCCUAGUCGGAAAAAUCAGCUGGAAUAGUUUCUGAAGUCGGAUUUUCCUGGAAAGCGUUGAGCAAGUCAGACCACCUCCAGUUCCGAUUUUUCAUAACUUCAUGAUUCAAUGUGGCCGCUCAGCAGCAGCAGGAAGCUGCGGUGGAAACAUGUUUAUCAUGUGAACAGAUUAAAAGUCAUGUUAGCUUAUAGCGACGUUCGUUAGCGGUGCUGCGGGUGUCGCCAUGUUGGAAUCGGACUCCUCCGGCUGCGUUAGCCGUUUCCUCUGCAGCUCUUGGCAGCAGUGAAGCUUCAGAACCUUCUUCGUCUGUUUUUCGGUUCGGCCCAGACUCCGUCUGCUCACUGCUAACUCUGGCUUCGGUUCCCUGAAGUUGGUCAGAUGUUUGGACUUACUAUUCUUGAUCUUUUUCCCCCCUCCAUGUCAUUUACAUAUUUUUGCACAUUUUCCAUGUUAUUUUUUAAAUUAAAGCAAGAGAUGAAGGUGGUAAUGAGCAGGAGGAAGAGUUCGGGUCAUCGUGAUCUUCCAGAGGAAUCAGAUUAAUCAGACAGGAGAACAGUCGGUUCCAGAGUCCGGCCGGUGAACCCUGAACUAGCGAGGUGUGUUUGAUUUAUUGACCGGGCCGGGCCUUCCUGAAGGUGCGUCUGCAGAUAAGGAGAUGCACUCAGAGCUGCAGGAAUGCGCGGCUGGUUGCGUAACUGCAGGGUCGCUCGGCGAUGUGAGAGCACUGAAGCCUCGUUAGUCGGCAUUAGAAGAGCUUCAUCCACCUUUGACCAGGUCAGAGUUCACGGGCUGGAGGUGCACACCUCAGGAGUCUCCGCUCUGCCAGCCUCCGAUGCCUGAGGACAUUCCUACUGUGAGCAGUAAUAGUGGAGAGACGGAUUCAUUUGGCUUCAGAUUAGGUCCUUCAUGUUGCUGUGAGUUUCAGAAGGAGAGUCUGGUUCCCUCAGACCGAAGAACCGAAAACUAAAACCUGAAACGACGUGGAGAGACGAGUUCUUACCUUCAGAGACGCAGCAGCUCCGUUAUGAUCCAGGACUGGACAGGCAUCAACAGGAAUUCCUCUCUGAGGUUCUGCGCUGGCUCCUGAUUGGCU